rnacentral:tRNA from 1 species
GCCCCCAUUGUCUAGUGGCCCAGGACGUGGCCCUCUCAAGGCCAAAACACGGGUUCGAAUCCCGUUGGGGGCACUA